rnacentral:rRNA from 1 species
ACACCGGCAGCUCAAGUGGUAGCCGCUUUUAUUGGGCCUAAAGCGUCCGUAGCCGGUCUGAUAAGUCUCUGGUGAAAUCCCACAGCUUAACUGUGGGAAUUGCUGGAGAUACUAUCAUGACUCGAGGUCGGGAGAGGCUGGAGGUACUCCCAGGGUAGGGGUGAAAUCCUGUAAUCCUGGGAGGACCACCUGUGGCGAAGGCGUCUAACUGGAACGAACCUGACGGUGAGUAACGAGAGCCAGGGGCGCGAACCGGAUUAGAUACCCGGGUAGUCCUGGCCGUAAACGAUGUGGACUUGGUGUUGGGAUGGCCUCGAGCUGCCCCAGUGCCGAAGGGAAGCUGUUAAGUCCACCGCCUGGGAAGUACGGUCGCAAGACUGAAACUUAAAUGAAUUGGCGGGG